AACACUCCCUCUUUUCCCCAUUUGUGCGAGCCCUAAGUAGACCAAACCCUAGCCGCCAUGUAGCCACCGCAAACGGUGGUCGACGGAGGGUGGUUUUCUCGUUCUUUAACCCCAUUUAGAUCCAUAUUCAAGGAUCUGACACUUCCCAUCAUGAAGAAUCAAAAAGAAAGUUCCCACCUUUGUUGGAUUCGGUUUUAACGGAGAAGAACUCCGACGAUACACCAACGAUUCAAGGCUCGGGUGUGGUAGAGGAGUUGGCGAGCCUUGAGCGGUGUGCACACUGGAGCUGGAGUACGGCGCACAUGGAGGAGCGGCGCACAUGGAGGAGCGGCUCAUAAGGACCUAGGGUUUUCUAGUUUACUGAAAACUUAGUUUAGGUUUUAGGCCAACGGGCCUAUUUUGUAUUUGGGUUAGGGUUUAUUGAUAAAUUUGGUAAUUUGGGUUUUGUUUAUUUUGGUUUAUUAACAUAUUUACCUAAUUAACCUUAGUAUAAAA